rnacentral:tRNA from 1 species
GCUUUCUUAGCUUAGUUGGUAGAGCACCCGCUUAGUAAGCGGGAGGUCGUCGGUUCAACUCCGGCAGAAGGCU